rfam:Zootermopsis nevadensis contig18589, whole genome shotgun sequence.
GCCACGGUGGUAUAGCGGUUAGAACGCUGGCCUUGUAAUCCUGGGGUCUCGGGUUCGAUUCCCGGCGGUGCCC